AUUGAACGCUGGCGGCAUGCUUUACACAUGCAAGUCGAACGGUAACAGGGUGCUUGCACCGCUGACGAGUGGCGAACGGGUGAGUAAUGCGUCGGAACGUGCCGAGUAGUGGGGGAUAACGCAGCGAAAGUUGUGCUAAUACCGCAUACGUACUGAGGUAGAAAGUGGGGGACCUUCGGGCCUCACGCUAUUCGAGCGGCCGACGUCUGAUAGCUAGUAGGUGAGGUAAAGGCUCACCUAGGCGACGAUCAGUAGCGGGUCUGAGAGGAUGAUCCGCCACACUGGGACUGAGACACGGCCCAGACUCCUACGGGAGACAGCAGUGGGGAAUUUUGGACAAUGGGCGAAAGCCUGAUCCAGCCAUGCCGCGUGUCUGAAGGAGGCCUUCGGGUUGUAAAGGACUUUUGUCAGGGAGGAAAUCCCUAGUGCUAAUAACACUGGGGGAUGACAGUACCUGAAGAAUAAGCACCGGCUAACUACGUGCCAGCAGCCGCCGUAA
rnacentral:rRNA from 1 species